CUGGAUGUGUGGACUGACCCGAAGGGAUAGAGCUCGGAAUGAGACUAUCCGGGAGAAGGUUGGGGUGACUUCAGUGGAGUGUAAGAUGCGGGAAGCACGAUUGAGAUGGUUCGGACACGUGAAGAGGAGGGGCAUGGGUGCCCCGGUCCGUAGGUGUGAGAGGCUAGCGUUGGAUGGUUUUAGACGGGGGAGGGGUAGAACGAAGAAGUACUGGGGUGAGGGGAUUAGGCGGGACAUGGAACAGUUACAGCUUACCGAGGACAUGACCCUAGAUAGGAAGGUCUGGAAGACGCGAAUUACGGCAGAGGAUUAGGGCCUGUUCGGGUCGCUAAUGUAGGGAGGUAAUUGGUGGGGGUGUAUUCCUGGUAUGAUUCCGUAUUCAAUGUUCUGUUCCGUGUUCCGUGU
rnacentral:lncRNA from 1 species